rnacentral:rRNA from 1 species
GACGAACGCUGGCGGCGUGCCUAAUACAUGCAAGUAGAACGCACAGUUUAUACCGUAGCUUGCUACACCAUAGACUGUGAGUUGCGAACGGGUGAGUAACGCGUAGGUAACCUGCCUGGUAGCGGGGGAUAACUAUUGGAAACGAUAGCUAAUACCGCAUAAUAUUAAUUAUUGCAUGAUAAUUAAUUGAAAGGUGCAAUUGCACCACUACCAGAUGGACCUGCGUUGUAUUAGCUAGUAGGUGAGGUAACGGCUCACCUAGGCGACGAUACAUAGCCGACCGGAGAGGGUGAUCGGCCACCCUGGGACUGAGACACGGCCCAGACUCCUACGGGAGGCAGCAGUAGGGAAUCUUCGGCAAUGGACGAAAGUCUGACCGAGCAACGCCGCGUGAGUGAAGAAGGUUUUCGGAUCGUAAAGCUCUGUUGUAAGAGAAGAACGGGUGUGAGAGUGGAAAGUUCACACUGUGACGGUAUCUUACCAGAAAGGGACGGCUAACUACGUG